CGGCAAAAGCUCAAAUUUGAAAUCUAGCACCUUCGGUGUUCGAGUUGUAAUUUGAAGAAGGUAACCUUGGGAUUGGCUCUUGUCUAUGUUUCUUGGAACAGAACGUCACAGAGGGUGAGAAUCCCGUGCGAUGAGAUGACCAAUUCUAUGUAAGGUGCUUUCGAAGAGUCGAGUUGUUUGGGAAUGCAGCUCUAAGUGGGUGGUAAAUUCCAUCUAAAGCUAAAUAUUGGCGAGAGACCGAUAGCGAACAAGUACAGUGAUGGAAAGAUGAAAAGAACUUUGAAAAGAGAGUGAAAAAGUACGUGAAAUUGUUGAAAGGGAAGGGUAUGAGAUCAGACUUGGUGUUUUGCAACCUUAUCUUCGGAUGGGGCCCCUGCAGUUCAUCGGGCCAGCAUCAGUUUGGAUGGUAGGAUAAUGACAUUGGAAUGUGGCUUGGCUUCGGUUAAGUGUUAUAGCC
rnacentral:rRNA from 1 species